rnacentral:rRNA from 1 species
AACGUAGGAGACAAACGUUAUCCGGAGUUACUGGGCGUAAAGGGCGUGCAGGUGGUCUGUUAAGUCUGGCGUGAAAGCUCCUGGCUAAACCGGGAGAGGUCGUUGGAUACUGGCGGACUAGAGGACGGUAGAGGCGUGGGGAAUUCCGGGUGUAGUGGUGAAACGCGUAGAGAUCCGGAGGAACACCAGUGGCGAAGGCGACACGCUGGGCCGUACCUGACACUGAUACGCGACAGCAUGGGGAGCGAACGGG